rnacentral:misc_RNA from 1 species
CACCGGCUUCUUCUACGGCAAGAGAAGCAAUGACGAGAAGCGGUUUGGGACCCUUGGUCUCGGUGGAUCCAGCGGUUACCUGUAUGGAAAACGAGACAGCGACAAAGAAAAGCGCUUCUGGAGGCUAGGGAUCAAAGGUUCCAAUGGAUAUUUGUAUGGAGGAAAGAGGAAGCGUUUCGGACAACUUGGAAUGGAUUCUUCCAGUGGGUACUUCUACGGCAAACGCUGAAGCUCGAUCACGACAUGCAAUGACACGGUGUAAUAUUUAUACGUUUUGAAAUGAUGUUAGAUGUAUUCAUCUUGACAAUCAGACUUUUGUUGUUUCAUGUGAUGUAUCUAUGAGAAAUUUCUUCGUAACGGUAUUUGUAUUGUCCAUUUUAUCAGUUUGUUUGUAUUUGUUUCCAAGAGAAACUUUUAGUGUCGCAAAUUCUUGUACUGUAUUUUCUUAUCAGGAAUUUAAAAAAUAAAGAUCAC